rnacentral:rRNA from 1 species
UACGAAGGGGGGCUAGCGUUGUUCGGGAAUUACUGGGCGUAAAGCGUGCGCAGGCGGCUUCUCAAGUCAGGGGUGAAAGCCCAGAGCUCAACUCUGGAAUUGCCUUUGAGACUGAGUGGCUUGAGUACGAGAGAGGUGAGUGGAAUUCCCAGUGUAGAGGUGAAAUUCGUAGAUAUUGGGAAGAACACCGGUGGCGAAGGCGGCUCACUGGCUCGUAACUGACGCUCAUGCACGACAGCGUGGGGAUCAAACAGG